rnacentral:rRNA from 1 species
AUGAUACGUGUGGCGAUAUUGUGUGUGUAUCAGGUCGUCGGCGGCGCUGUGGGCGCCUACUUCCUCUGGCCCACGGCGGUCGUCCCGGCCGCGGCUGGCGCCGUGAUGAAAGCGCCUGGAGCUGCCGGCUUCGUCAUCUCCCGCGCGGCGUUCCUGGCCAACCCGCAGCUCUACUUCAACAUCCUCCGCACGACCGGGGCUGCGGCGGCGGCCGCCGCCUUCGCUCUGUAGGGCGUCGCCGCGUACGUGCGCGUCUUUCAUUUGCGGUGCUUGCGCGCCCGCUAUAUAUGGAGCCGUAGCGGUUAA